UGGGGAAUAUUGCACAAUGGGCGAAAGCCUGAUGCAGCAACGCCGCGUGAGUGAUGAAGGCCUUCGGGUUGUAAAGCUCUGUCUUUUGGGACGAUAAUGACGGUACCAAAGGAGGAAGCCACGGCUAACUACGUGCCAGCAGCCGCGGUAAUACGUAGGUGGCAAGCGUUGUCCGGAUUUUACUGGGCGUAAAGGAUGCGUAGGCGGGAUUUUUAAGUGAGAUGUGAAAAACCCCUAAGCUUAACUUGGGGGACUGCAUUUCAUACUGGAAAUCUAGAGUGCGGGAGAGGGAGAAUGGAAUUCCUAGUGUAGCGGUGAAAUGCGUAGAGAUUAGGAAGAACACCAGUGGCCGAAGGGCGAUUCUCUGGACCGUAACUGACGCUGAGGCAUGAAAGCGUGGGUAGCAAACAGGAUUAGAUACCCCUGGUAGUCCACGCCGUAAACGAUGAGUACUAGGUGUAGGGAGGGUAUCGACCCCCUUCUGUGCCGCAGUUAACACAAUAAGUACUCCGCCUGGGGAAGUACGAUCGCAAGA
rnacentral:rRNA from 1 species